GUACAAAGUCUAUAACCUGUUAACCCAGAAGAAGAAUACCAGCCAUUAAAAAAACUACCAUUGCAAUAAGAAGCCCACUAUCAAGUCUAGCAGACCCAAUACAUCAAUAGGCAAUCCUAAUUUAAAACAGGUCGGGAUCCGAAGAAACUAAAGCUGACCCGAUUCUUCAUCAAACAGCGCGCUCACUUCAGAUAUCCGACCAUGGAGCUACUCCAAAUCGUAGAAACUAGUCGUCUACCAAGGUGGGAGGCCUCAACCAACACAACCAGAAGCAGCUCAAGCGAGUAAACCCCUUUAAGACAACAAACAAGCUAUGGAAUUUAGAGUAUUUUAGCAUCGAUCGAUAGCCAUGGACGGAGAAGCAUAGAGAAGAAGACAAGGCCCAUACAGGAGGGCAGCGACCUACCAUGGCCGACUCUUA
rnacentral:misc_RNA from 1 species